AGAGUUUGAUCCUGGCUCAGGACGAACGCUGGCGGCGCGCCUAACACAUGCAAGUCGAACGAGCGAGAGAGAGCUUGCUUUCUCGAGCGAGUGGCGAACGGGUGAGUAACGCGUGAGGAACCUGCCUCAAAGAGGGGGACAACAGUUGGAAACGACUGCUAAUACCGCAUAAGCCCACGACCCGGCAUCGGGUAGAGGGAAAAGGAGCAAUCCGCUUUGAGAUGGCCUCGCGUCCGAUUAGCUAGUUGGUGAGGUAACGGCCCACCAAGGCGACGAUCGGUAGCCGGACUGAGAGGUUGAACGGCCACAUUGGGACUGAGACACGGCCCAGACUCCUACGGGAGGCAGCAGUGGGGAAUAUUGCACAAUGGGGGAAACCCUGAUGCAGCGACGCCGCGUGGAGGAAGAAGGUUUUCGGAUUGUAAACUCCUGUCGUUAGGGACGAUAAUGACGGUACCUAACAAGAAAGCACCGGCUAACUACGUGCCAGCAGCCGCGGUAAAACGUAGGGUGCAAGCGUUGUCCGGAAUUACUGGGUGUAAAGGGAGCGCAGGCGGACCGGCAAGUUGGAAGUGAAAACUAUGGGCUCAACCCAUAAAUUGCUUUCAAAACUGCUGGCCUUGAGUAGUGCAGAGGUAGGUGGAAUUCCCGGUGUAGCGGUGGAAUGCGUAGAUAUCGGGAGGAACACCAGUGGCGAAGGCGACCUACUGGGCACCAACUGACGCUGAGGCUCGAAAGCAUGGGUAGCAAACAGGAUUAGAUACCCUGGUAGUCCAUGCCGUAAACGAUGAUUACUAGGUGUUGGAGGAUUGACCCCUUCAGUGCCGCAGUUAACACAAUAAGUAAUCCACCUGGGGAGUACGACCGCAAGGUUGAAACUCAAAGGAAUUGACGGGGGCC
rnacentral:rRNA from 1 species